rnacentral:lncRNA from 1 species
GGUUAAUCUGUUGUCCUGCAUUCCCGUUUUUUUAUCCAAAUGGACGAUAUUUUUUUAUUAUCUAUGAAACAAGAAAAUACCAAAUGAUCAUUUAAUUAUCGACUCCUAGGAGUCGAUAUUAAGAAUUGAACGAUGGACAGUUAGUGCGUGAAUUUUUCUUGCUACCUGAUGGGAAGAUAUUACGAGACGUGAAUAAUCAAAGUUUAUUGGUUGGUUAGAACAAUACAAACCUAGUAAAUGUCCUUCAAUCCCGUAGAGUAUCGGAUUUGUCCUUUCUAUUUUAGCAAUUAGAUUUUGCCUGGUCAUUAAUCAUGCAUAUUCAUGAUAUUGGUACACAGGUAACUUCU